UACGUAGGGUGCAAGCGUUGUCCGAAAUUAUUGGGCGUAAAGAGCUCGUAGGCGGUCUGUCGCGUCUGCUGUGAAAUCCCAGGGCUUAACCCUGGGCCUGCAGUGGGUACGGGCAGACUAGAGUGCGGUAGGGGAGAUCGGAAUUCCUGGUGUAGCGGUGAAAUGCGCAGAUAUCAGGAGGAACACCGGUGGCGAAGGCGGAUCUCUGGGCCGUAACUGACGCUGAGGAGCGAAAGCAUGGGUAGCGAACAGG
rnacentral:rRNA from 1 species